UACGGAGGGUGCAAGCGUUAAUCGGAAUUACUGGGCGUAAAGCGUGCGCAGGCGGUUUUGUAAGUCUGUCGUGAAAGCCCCGGGCUCAACCUGGGAAUUGCAUUGGAGACUGCAAGGCUAGAAUCUGGCAGAGGGGGGUAGAAUUCCACGUGUAGCAGUGAAAUGCGUAGAGAUGUGGAGGAACACCGAUGGCGAAGGCAGCCCCCUGGGUCAAGAUUGACGCUCAUGCACGAAAGCGUGGGGAGCAAACAGG
rnacentral:rRNA from 1 species